CUGAACUGUCAACACGAGUUGUUGCUGGUCCUCAAAUGGGGGCAUGUGCACGCUCUGUUUACAUACCCACUCACACCUGUGCACCCUCUGUAGUUCUGUGGUGUGGGGGACUCUGUCCUCCCACUGUGGUUCUACGUCUUUACACACACACACAGUCUCAUAGAAUGUAUGUCGCGUUUAACGCAAUACAAUA
rnacentral:misc_RNA from 1 species